AAACAAAUAUGAAGGCCCUGGCUUCGCGGCCGGCUGAAAUAUUUUUUCACCCAUGUCUUUUGCGCACUUGUUGUUUCCUGGGCGGGUUUGCCCGCCACCAGGACCAAACCAUAAACCUUUUUUUUUAUGCAGUUACCAUCAGCGUCAGUAAAAACAAUGUAAUUAAUUACAACUUUCAACAACGGAUCUCUUGGUUCUGGCAUCGAUGAAGAACGCAGCGAAAUGCGAUACGUAGUGUGAAUUGCAGAAUUCAGUGAAUCAUCGAAUCUUUGAACGCACAUUGCGCCCUUUGGUAUUCCAAAGGGCAUGCCUGUUCGAGCGUCAUUUGUACCUUCAAGCUUUGCUUGGUGUUGGGCGUUUUUGUCUCCCUCUUUCUGGGAGACUCGCCUUAAAACGAUUGGCAGCCGGCCUACUGGUUUCGGAGCGCAGCACAUAAUUUGCGCUUUGUAUCAGGAGAAAAGGACGGUAAUCCAUCAAGACUCUAGAUUUUUAACUUUUGACCUCGGAUCAGGUAGGGAUACCCGCUGAACUUAAGCAUAUCAAAGCCGGGAAAGAA
rnacentral:rRNA from 1 species